rnacentral:rRNA from 1 species
UACGGGGGGAGCAAGCGUUGUUCGGAUUUACUGGGCGUAAAGGGCGCGUAGGCGGCCUGUGCAAGUCGGUUGUGAAAUCUCCGGGCUUAACUCGGAAAGGUCAACUGAUACUGCUCGGCUAGAGUGCGGAAGGGGCAACUGGAAUUCUUGGUGUAGCGGUGAAAUGCGUAGAUAUCAAGAGGAACACCUGCGGCGAAGGCGGGUUGCUGGGCCGACACUGACGCUGAAGCGCGAAAGCUAGGGGAGCGAACGGG